AUUCUAUCAGGCAAUCUGGUAAAUAGCAGUGUGUGUCUAAUAUAUUUGAAAGGAGUUGGAGGGAGUGUUAAACAGCAAAGCAGCAAAAUGAAAAGUGUCUUCAGUCAAGCCAGAGAAAUCGGCUAUCUUGGUGCUGAAAACAGUAGUUUUGACAUCGUCUAAACAGGAAUAAUCCAGGAACAGUGAGGAAAGGUAUGUGCACACUGGCCAUUUUGAGCCCUUUUCUUAAAAACUGUAUAACUAAAAAUGGCAUGCUGUUUCCU
rnacentral:lncRNA from 1 species